AUGGAUCUUUAUUCAGUUUUUCUGUUCUGUGCAUCAGCAGCUGCUGUCUUUGGAAAUGUCAUCAAAACAAACAAAACUGAUGUUGUUUAUGAAGAGGGUUCAGAUAUUACAUUGUCCUGUAGUCAAUCACCUGUAGCUUCAGAUAAUAUCCACUGGUACCGUCAGUAUGAAAGAUCAAAACCUGAAUUUCUUGUACUCACCUACGGUAGUGCAAAAGAAGCUGCGGUGUCUGAGGUAGAUCCAAGAUUCUCUGUUAAAGCUGAAAAACGGGAACAAAUCCAUGUGGAUCUGGAGAUUUUCUCUGCUGCUGUAUCAGACUCUGCUCUGUACUACUGUGCUCUGAGGCCCACAGUCACAGGAAACACAUCAGCUCUCUACAAAAACCUGUUACAAUGA